UCAAUUGUGGUACACAUAAUUUGAGGAAUUCCCAUUCUUUCGGUCAAACCUUUUUCAUUAGAUUUAGAGUAUAUUUCUUCAAAAUGGAGAAGUUCCCCCAAUUUCUACCGCAAUUUUCCUCAGUUCCUACUGCGCUCUAUGAUCUCCUUCCACCACGCUCGAUUGAGGUUAUGAUAUAGUGGCGAGUUUUAUGCUGAGCAAGCCAGCUUCUUUUCUCCAAGUCCAAGAUUUUGUCUUGGAGAAAUGCACACGAGUCAGGUUUGGGAUAACAGAACUUCACUUUCUCCCCUUCAACCCAACUGACAAGAAGUCGCACACACCUACUUACAGGUUAUGCUAAAAUGCACCAAGUCAGCAAAGGUGCAAUAGAGCAGAUUCUUAGCCUCGCAUAUAACAGAUCAGACAUAGCAAACAGAGUGACACAUCAUUGAUAAAUUUGCUGAGAGAGGACUUUGCUAUGACAAGUUGGAAGCUGGUAUAUUGACAUUUGUCAUUUCUUCUGUUAUACUUGGGCAUCUGGUAUAGAUUACACUUGAUCCUUAAUAUCUCUUCUAAGACUGGUUUGAUGGAUGAAAUUGGGUGUGUGGAUGGAACAAAACUCACUUAGCUGGUGUGUGGAUGCCGUUCUUUGUGGUUUUAGCAGGAAGUAAAUUCAAUCAGCCUAUCAAGACAAGAAUCAACGAGGCUGAGCAAGUGGUGCAUCACAAUUCACAUGGACAAGUUCUUCGGCGGUGCUCCAGCCGUCUCUUUGAAAAGAACACUACUACACCGGGCGAGUCUCCAUUAGGUCCCUCGACGGGUACUCUUCAAUCGGGGACUGCCCCUAUGACGAUGCCCACGUUUGAUGGUCCGGAUGCUAUUUCCUGGCUAGCAAGAGCUGAACAGUAUUUUUUGAUCAACAACACUCCGGCAGCAGAUCAGGAACUGUUGAAACGUUUCGGGUGAUAAUAUGGCUUUGGACGGUUACGAGGCUUUCGCGCAGUGUUGUCAAAAUGGCGCUCGGGUCGCCCGGGUCGCCCGGGUCGAGACCGCCACCGCCCCAACAUGGGUGGGUUGAUCGAGGUACGGGGUCGCCCCGGGUCGCUGGGUCGAGAGGGUCGCUGGGUCGAGUACAGGUAAUUCCUAAAACCUUUAUUCUCUAAAUCUUUUCCUUUUUUAAUGCUGAUUUGUUUUUACUAAAAUAAACAUAAGUAUAAAAGUAAAACUUACCUAAAAGUACGCUGAUUUUCUCAAAUCUUUCACACUUUUGUUCAAUAUUUACCCCAAUUUCAUAUCCAACUGUUAUUUUUAAUUGGCUGCUUCUGUCUUUAAGUGACUAUUUUAUUAAAAUAAUUGAACUCUAAACACGGUGAAGUUUUGCAAUAGGAAAUAUAAUCCUCAUUCUGUUAAAAAAAAGCACACGUUUUUUCUCAAUCUCUAUCUAUAUAUAUGCAUGAACCCAGCGUUGUUAGGGUCGAGGGUCGCACCGGGUCGAUAAGGUGAAAAUUCGGGUCGCGGGUCGACGAGUCGACUGGGUCGAGAGACCCACUAAUCUAGGCUAAUUUUUUUGCCUUUUAAUAUUAAAUCAAAUAAAUAUAUUACUCUAAUGUUUA